rnacentral:rRNA from 1 species
AAAUUGAAGAGUUUGAUCAUGGCUCAGAUUGAACGCUGGCGGCAGGCCUAACACAUGCAAGUCGAACGGUAACAGGAAGCAGCUUGCUGCUUUGCUGACGAGUGGCGGACGGGUGAGUAAUGUCUGGGAAACUGCCUGAUGGAGGGGGAUAACUACUGGAAACGGUGGCUAAUACCGCAUAACGUCGCAAGACCAAAGAGGGGGACCUUCGGGCCUCUUGCCAUCGGAUGUGCCCAGAUGGGAUUAGCUGGUUGGUGAGGUAACGGCUCACCAAGGCGACGAUCCCUAGCUGGUCUGAGAGGAUGACCAGCCACACUGGAACUGAGACACGGUCCAGACUCCUACGGGAGGCAG